GCCUCCAGAAUUGUGAGAAAACAAAUUGCUGUUGUUUAAGCCACUGGUCUGUGGUAUUUUGUUAUAACAGCCUGAGCACAUCAAUACAGACGUCGUCUAUCCUUUCCAGUAUCCAACAGGGAAAGCUCCCUAGAAAUUCUCUUCUGGCCCCAAGAGGAAAAGCAAAGGAACCAGAAAAUCCUGGACAAGUGAUAGCUGCUUUAAUGGCUCUGACUCUUGAUUUUGAAGAAGUGCUGAUCCUUUUGUGAGACAAGUGUUUGACUCGGACUCUAAGUGCAACAGUUCACAGAUACUUAAUUGGGCAUCUAGGACACCACCGGACACAAGUUCCCUAUCUUUGGGAAGCCUCAUGCAUUGUAAAGAACACAGGCUUGGAGUCCAAAGCCUCUCUUUGAAAUUCCAUUUCUGCCACUGUAUAGCUGUGUCAACUUGGCAGCACUGGCCUGGUACACAACAGAUAUGCAAGAGCAGUUCCUUAGCUGAAUGAUCCAGCAGAGGAAAAGCCAAAGCACACCUCGGUGUCUUGGGACCCUCAGUCUCCUCCCUUGAGCUAGGUGUUACCCGGAAAUCCAGUGACCUCGACAUAAACAAUUGUGCAUAAUCAAUUGCAAGCCGUAGCCUGUUCUGGAUAGGAAAUUAGACCCAUUCCAAAGUCAAUGGAGGAAAACCAGACACUCCAAGCAAGAUGACCAUGGGACUGCAUGGAGCCUUCUCUAAUUAGAUGAUGUCCCAGAUUGCCUUCUUGCUAGAUGUAUAUAGCAGGUGCACUGAACACCACUGUCACCUACCAGAGGAACUUUUCUGUUGCAUUGUGUUCCAGUGUUGAAGUGGAAUGGGAGGUGGCAGGACACUUAACCAAAAGGAGCAAGAAGGUAUCUGGUCUAUUCCCAUCUUCCUGCCCCACCUGUCCAAAGUCAGAGUCCAGGGCACACUCUGACUCGGCCCUCUCCCCUUCCUGAAGACAAUCUUAUUCCUCAAAAGGAGUCAUGGCCUGCUUUGAUCCUAACCUGGCCCCCAAGGCAACCUCAGUUUCUAGAGGUUCUUGAUGACCCAGUUCUUUGGGACUAACCCCAAUGUGAUAUGCUGACUCUAUCUUUCUGAACAAGGUCCACGGACUGACCCAUAUUCUGCAAAGAAUGAAAGAGAUUUCAAAUUAGACCUGCAUCAUAGUAUUGGAGAUGCCCCAACAAAUUAGAAGGCCAGGAAGCAUGAAGCAUUAGACUAGGGUACAGAAAAUCCCAGCACUGCACACAGCAUAUUCAAAAUCAAGAACAAGAGAACUCUACUGGAGAGUAAAAUCUAGGGCCCGAAUGUGAUUAUAUGCCUGGUGAUGAUGGUAACAAUGAAAAAGAACAUAGCACCAGAAAAAAAGUAUUCCUAAUGAGACCAAUUCUUAACACUGGUUAAACUAUAAAAUGGGAGAAGACAAGUUUUAUUUUUCCUAUAAAACCCACACUAAAGUAAUCAUUGAAAUACUAAAUGUAACCCAAUGUCCAUGAAACUGUGGCCACUCACCAAAAAAAUACAACAGAACUCAUAUGUAUGAUCAAAUUUAUUGUAAUUGAAUUAAGUGACAAUACUAAGCUGAACUGCUCAGUCUUCUUAGCUUGUGACUCAUGGUAGUCAAAUUGAACCUAAAGUAAUAAAACACAACAGUGGCUAAGAAAC